rnacentral:snRNA from 1 species
AUCCUUAGGAGAUAUUCGAUAAAAUUGAAACGUUACAGAAAAGAUUAGCAUGACUCUUGCACAAAGAUAAUACACAAAAAUCGAGAAAUGGUCCAAAUAUAU